rnacentral:ncRNA from 2 species
UAGAAUAUUUGGCAAACCUAUUUAAAGAUAGGGACGCAAAGUCUGGAGUCUAAAGCCGCCGCCGGGCGGUCAUGACCGUUCGACUGCAAGG